GCCAGUCUGCUGGAUUGGAUGAUUCCUUCCGCAGGUGUACACUUACCGAAGCCUUUGCAGCCACGCAAGUGGCAGGCCCGGCGACUCUAAAGAAACUCGGUGCCGCUGCAAGUCGGUCCGCCCGCUGGGGGGGUUGGGCCGGCGACACUUUCGAAUUGACGGGGACACCCUAAAGCCGAUCGCACCAACCCGCGGCGGGAAACCGCCCGGGGGCCCGUGGUAACGACACGGGGGACGGUAACAGACGAUCCGGAUAGUUCUGCGCCCGCGCAGAGAGGAUGGGCAAUCCGCAGCGAAGCCUCUACGUCCCCUCCGGGGGAUACGAGGAACGUCCACAGACUAAGUGGAAGUGGGUAGGGCGGCCGGUGCCGCCCUGCUUAAGAUAUAGUCGGGCCCCCCGGGAGACCGGGGGGGCGAGUACACUGCCUCUCGCCUGAGAAACCGUUCCGUAGGUGAACCUGCGGAAGGAUCAUUAAUGAGUGCAGGCCCUCUGGGUCUAACCUCCCACCCGUGUCUAUUGUACCUUGUUGCUUCGGUGGGCCCGCCUGACCCCAGGUCGCCAGGGGGCACUCCCCGGGCGCGCGCCCGCCGAAGACACCCUGGAACUCUGUCUGUGAGUGUUGUCUGAGUAGGAUUUGAAUCAGUUAAAACUUUCAACAACGGAUCUCUUGGUUCCGGCAUCGAUGAAGAACGCAGCGAAAUGCGAUMAGUAAUGUGAAUUGCARAAUUUCMUGAAUCAUCRAGUCUUUGAACGCACAUUGCGCCCCCUGGUAUUCCGGGGGGCAUGCCUGUCCGAGCGKCAUUGCACCCCUCAAGCCCGGCUUGUCCUUGGGUUGUGUCCCUCCGUCCCGGGGGGACAGGCCUCAAAUGCAAUGGCGGCACCGCGUCCGGUCCUCGAGCGUAUGGGGCUUUGUCACCCGCUUUGUAGGCCGGCCGGUCGCUUGCCCCUUCAAGCACCAACUUCUUAUGUUGACCUCGGAUCAGGUAGGGAUACCCGCUGAACUUAAGCAUAUCAAUAAGCGGAGGAAAAGAAACCAACAGGGAUUGCCUCAGUAACGGCGAGUGAAGCGGCAAGAGCUCAAAUUUGAAAGCUGGCUCCUUCGGGGUCCGCAUUGUAAUUUGCAGAGGAUGCUUCGGGAGCGGCCCCCAUCUAAGUGCCCUGGAACGGGCUGUCAUAGAGGGUGAGAAUCCCGUCUGGGAUGGGGUGCCCGCGCCCGUGUGAAGCUCCUUCGACGAGUCGAGUUGUUUGGGAAUGCAGCUCUAAAUGGGUGGUAAAUUUCAUCUAAAGCUAAAUAUUGGCCGGAGACCGAUAGCGCACAAGUAGAGUGAUCGAAAGAUGAAAAGCACUUUGAAAAGAGAGUUAAACAGCACGUGAAAUUGUUGAAAGGGAAGCGCUUGCGACCAGACUCGCUCGCGGGGUUCAGCCGGCUCUCGGGCCUGGUGUACUUCCCCGUGGGCGGGCCAGCGUCGGUUUGGGCGGUCGGUCAAAGGCCCUUGGAAUGUAACGCCCCUCGGGGCGUCUUAUAGCCAAGGGUGCCAUGCGGCCAGCCCGGACCGAGGAACGCGCUUCGGCACG
rnacentral:rRNA from 1 species